UAGAGAGAUAAUUUAUGAAGAGAGAGAGAGAGAGAGAGUUCCUAGGAAAAUUAAAUAAAAAAGAAGAAGAAAGUAGUAAUAACUAAUAAAUAAAGGAAAAUCGGGGAGCUCGAUGUCGCAGGCAUUCGAGGGUUAUGGAAAAUGGCAAAAAGCAAACUAGCUAGGAAGUUUCCCACACAAAAGUCAAAUGCUCAAAGACAGACACACAACACAACAGAACGCACCCAAACACGCACC
rnacentral:lncRNA from 1 species